rnacentral:rRNA from 1 species
AAACUUUCAACAACGGAUCUCUUGGUUCCGGCAUCGAUGAAGAACGCAGCGAAAUGCGAUAACUAAUGUGAAUUGCAGAAUUCAGUGAAUCGAUCGAGUCUUUGAACGCACAUUGCGCCGUCUGGUAUUCCGGAGGGCAUGCAUGUCCGAGCGUCAUU